rnacentral:lncRNA from 1 species
CGGGGAACCAGAUUUUGCUGGAAGUAGAAGCCCUUUGCUCUGAGAACUGAUCUUUACUGCAUCAGGAAGAAAAUCUCUUGGCAAGCAUCGGGUUAUGGACUUUGUUUCCAUUUGGACCAUUCUGCUUCCUGCUGAAAAUGAGCAACUGACUGCACUGGAAACUUUCUGCAAUUUGCUCAGACUAACAGCUUGGAUGCCUGCUGGAUUCUGA